rnacentral:rRNA from 1 species
UACGUAUGGGGCGAGCGUUGUCCGGAAUUAUUGGGCGUAAAGCGCACGCAGGCGGUCUGGAAAGCGGUGGGUGCAAUCUCGAGGCUCAACCUCGAAACUGCUCGCCGAACUACCAGACUUGAGCACGGGAGAGGACAGUGGAAUUCCCGGUGUAGCGGUGGAAUGCGUAAAUAUCGGGAGGAACACCAGUGGCGAAGGCUGCUGUCUGGAACGUUGCUGACGCUGAGGUGCGAAAGCCAGGGGAGCGAACGGGAUUAGAUACCCCCGGUAGU